UUAUUAGGUUAUAAUAAGACUACGUUUGUUACAUUAAUUGUUUGUUAAAAAUGGGCAGACGAUGACUUGGCCCAAAGACCUCAUCAUACGUCUUACAGUUCACAGGUGUUAUGGAUAUGAUUUGAUGCUAGGGACUCCGAAGAGGUCCGCUAACAUAUUCAAUUCACUAAUGAUCCUUCCGCAGGUUCACCUACGGAAA
rnacentral:misc_RNA from 1 species